rnacentral:rRNA from 1 species
UCCUACGGGAGGCAGCAGUGGGGAAUAUUGGACAAUGGGGGCAACCCUGAUCCAGCCGUGCCGCGUGUGUGAAGAAGGCCCUCGGGUUGUAAAGCACUUUCAGCGAGGAAGAACGCCUAGCGGUUAAUACCCGCUAGGAAAGACAUCACUCGCAGAAGAAGCACCGGCUAACUCCGUGCCAGCAGCCGCGGUAAUACGGAGGGUGCAAGCGUUAAUCGGAAUUACUGGGCGUAAAGCGCGCGUAGGUGGCUUGAUAAGCCGGUUGUGAAAGCCCCGGGCUCAACCUGGGAACGGCAUCCGGAACUGUCAAGCUAGAGUGCAGGAGAGGAAGGUAGAAUUCCCGGUGUAGCGGUGAAAUGCGUAGGGAUCGGGAGGAAUACCAGUAGCGAAGGCGGCCUUCUGGACUGACACUGACACUGAGGUGCGAAAGCGUGGGUAGCAAACAGGAUUAGAUACCCUGGUAGUCCACGCCGUAAACGAUGUCGACCAGCCGUUGGGUGCCUAGCGCACUUUGUGGCGAAGUUAACGCGAUAAGUCGACCGCCUGGGGAGUACGGCCGCAAGGUUAAAACUCAAAUGAAUUGACGGG